rnacentral:misc_RNA from 1 species
GAGAAUAGUUGAGUUCAUGAAAAGCAAUGGAUGUAAUCCUAAUGUAUUCAAUUACUCUGUCUUAAUGAAUGGCUUCUGUAAAGAGGGAAGAUUGCAAGAGGCAAAGGAGGUUUUUGAUGAAAUGAAGAGCCUCGGGAUGAGACCCGAUACAAUCAGCUACACUACUUUAAUGAACUGCCUAUGUAGAACUGGAAGAGUCAAUGAGGCGACAGAGUUACUCCAGCAGAUGAAGG